rnacentral:rRNA from 1 species
CCAGACUCCUACGGGAGGCAGCAGUGGGGGAUAUUGGACAAUGGGGGGAACCCUGAUCCAGCGACGCCGCGUGAGUGAAGAAGUAUUUCGGUAUGUAAAGCUCUGUCAGCAGGGAAGAAAGAAAUGACGGUACCUGACCAAGAAGCCCCGGCUAACUACGUGCCAGCAGCCGCGGUAAUACGUAGGGGGCAAGCGUUAUCCGGAAUUACUGGGUGUAAAGGGAGCGCAGGCGGUGCGGCAAGUCUGAUGUGAAAGCCCGGGGCUCAACCCCGGGACUGCAUUGGAAACUACCGAACUAGAGUGUCGGAGAGGUAAGUGGAAUUCCUAGUGUAGCGGUGAAAUGCGUAGAUAUUAGGAGGAACACCAGUGGCGAAGGCGGCUUACUGGACGAUAACUGACGCUGAGGCUCGAAAGCGUGGGGAGCAAACAGGAUUAGAUACCUCUGUAA